AGCAGCAUAUCUGCAAAAUUUUCACACCCGAACACCUUCAUUUGGUUUCAGUUUUCAACAAACAAAUCUAAUCUCAUUAAUUCUUCAACCAAAAUCUCAAGUAUUCAACAGACAAAUCUAAUUUGUCAGCAGCAAAUAUAAUCUCAUUGAAUUCUUCAACCACGCCUAAACUUAGCCGCACUAUUCACCAUAUUUUUUCACACUAGCAGCUUCAGUAUUUACUCCCUAUAAAAGGCAUCCUCACUUACCUAAAAUCCUUAGCAGCUGCAAAGAAUUUUAGACGAAACAAGAUCACCAUAUAUAACUCAGCAACAACAACCAACAAACAAAACUUUCAAGGUAUUCACUAUCUCAUUUGCACGCUUCGGUUUAAUUAGGAAUACAGAAUGGUAGAGAACCUACAUAUGCAUAAAUGGACAUAGCAAAUAUAGCAAACCAUUCGUUUCUGUGAUACAUAAUGAGCUAUUAUAUGUUGUAAAUAAGAAUACAGAAAACCAAGUUUUCAUUCCAAAAUCAAGUCUUUAUACAAAGUUGAAUUUUCUGAAAAUUAUUCAAAUUUACGAACCUAUCGUGAGUGAUAAAACGAGAGAGAAAGGAUGGUGGAUUGUCGGAGCUCUGCGACUCACGGCGACGGCGACUCCAGGAGAGGCGGCUGCCGGAUUCUUGCUGCCAACGGCAGCGGCUGACGGCGGCGCUCCUCCAGCGAGCUGCUGGCCGUCGAUCGCAGGCAAACCAGCGGCGACUCCCGGCGAAGCAGCAGCGGACUCCAGCGGCUCACUCCAGCGGCUCCCAGUCGACGGUUUCAGGCGAGAAGCUCGCCUCGGUGCUCCACGAGCAGUCAGCGGCAGCAGCUCCACGCGGCGGCCUCGCUGGCGACCGGAACGGCCAGGACGCAGGGAGGAGAUGGCCGGAUUUCGGAGCUCUGCAACUCCAGGCCGCGACUCCGGGAACAGCAGCAGACGGCGGCUUAUCGCCGCUGCUUCCCGGCGAAGCUUCCGCAGCGGCGGAGCUUUGUGAGAGAGAGAGAGAGAGGCGGCUGGAUCGAGCGAGAGAGAGAGAUGUUGGGUAGUGUCCGAUUCUUGAGAAUUUAGAGAGAUGAUGAAUAGUGUGUGAGUGUGUUGUGAGAAAGAGAAAGAGAGAGAUGCAGCGUUUUUUUUUUGUUGUUUUAGGAGAUAGGUUCUGUUUUAAUAAUUGAGAGAGAGAGAAGGUUAAGCUUUAAAAAAAAAGGGGAGAACCGAAUUAUUAUGAGAGAAAAACAUUUCACUUUAAUAAA
rnacentral:lncRNA from 1 species